rnacentral:rRNA from 1 species
CCCUUAGAUGUUCUGGGCCGCACACGCGCUACACUGAAGGAGGCAGCGUGUACUCCUGGAUCGAAAGAUUUGGGUAACCCGCGAAUCUUCUUCGUGCUAGGGAUUGAGGUUUGCAAUUAUCCUUCAUGAACGAGGAAUUCCCAGUAAGUGCAAGUCAUAAGCUUGCGCUGACUACGUCCCUGCCCUUUGUACACACCGCCCGUCGCUACUACCGAUUGAAUGAUUUAGUGAGGACUUCGGACUGGGACCGAUGCGGCUUUCGGGCUGCGUCGGUAUUCUGGAAAGAUGUCCAAACUGUAUCAUUUAGAGGAAGUAAAAGUCGUAACA